rnacentral:rRNA from 1 species
CGGCAUGGACGCAGUCUGACCGAGCACGCCGCGUGAGUGAAGAAGGUUUUCGGAUCGUAAAACUCUGUUGUUAGAGAAGAACAGGGAUGAGAGUGGAAAGUUCAUCCUAUGACGGUAUCUAACCAGAAAGCCACGGCUAACUACGUGCCAGCAGCCGCGGUAAUACAA